AUCUCUUUAGAGACAUCUGAUAAAAUUGGAACGAUACAGAGAAGAUUAGCAUGGCCCCUACGCAAGGAUGACAUUCACAAAUAGAGAAAUGGUCCAAAUUUUU
rnacentral:snRNA from 1 species